rnacentral:sRNA from 1 species
GCGUGCUCCGCCGGUUGAAAGCGGAUCCGGGCUGGAGGCGGUGUCGCGGUGCAUGAAUAUUGAUUACGCGUCGCAGCGCCCAGCGCCCAGUGCCCGCCCCUCUCGGCCGCUCGACGCUCGCUGCUCGCGCUCGGGCUCGCGAUGGGGAAGAAGUCCCGGGCGGUACCCGGCCGUAGGCCCAUUCUGCAGCUCUCUCCGCCGGGUCCUCGGGGCAGCACGCCGGGCCGGGACCCGGAGCCGGAACCCGACAGUGAACCGGACUCAACGGCGGCGGUCCCCAGCCAGCCCGCCCCGUCGGCGGCGACGACCACCACCGCGGUGACUGCCGCCGCGGCCUCGGACGACUCGCCUUCAGAAGGCGGUCUAUGCUUACUUGGUGCUUAUGCUGACAGUGAUGACGAUGACAAUGAUGUUUCCGAAAAACCAGCACAAUCCAAAGAGACAAAUGGAAACCAGUCAACUGAUAUUGAUAGUACAUUGGCCAACUUCCUAGCGGAGAUCGAUGCCAUAACAGCUCCUCAGCCUGCAGCUCCUGUAGGAGCUUCUGCUCCACCUCCAAC